ACCAUGCAGUCGACGGCAGCACAGGAGAGCUUGCUCUCUGGGUGGCGAGUGGUGGACGGGUGAGGAAUACAUCGGAAUCUACUUUUUCGUGGGGGAUAACGUAGGGAAACUUACGCUAAUACCGCAUACGACCUACGGGUGAAAGCAGGGGAUCUUCGGACCUUGCGCGAUUGAAUGAGCCGAUGUCGGAUUAGCUAGUUGGCGGGGUAAAGGCCCACCAAGGCGACGAUCCGUAGCUGGUCUGAGAGGAUGAUCAGCCACACUGGAACUGAGACACGGUCCAGACUCCUACGGGAGGCAGCAGUGGGGAAUAUUUGGACAAUGGGCGAAAGCCUGAUCCAGCCAUGCCGCGUGUGUGAGUAAAGAAUGUCUUCGGAUUGUAAAGCACUUUAAGUUGGGGAGGAAGGGCUGUAGGCUAAUAUCCUGCGGUUUUGACGUUACCAACAGAAUAAGCACCGGCUAACUUCGUGCCAGCAGCCGCGGUAAUACGAAGGGUGCAAGCGUUAAUCGGAAUUACUGGGCGUAAAGCGCGCGUAGGUGGUCGUUAAGUGGAUGUGAAAGCCCCGGGCUCAACCUGGAACUGCAUCCAAACUGGCGAGCUAGAGUACGGUAGAGGGUAGUGGAAUCUGGUGAGCAGUGAAUGCGUAGGAUCCA
rnacentral:rRNA from 1 species